AGUGAACGCUGGCGGUAGGCCUAACACAUGCAAGUCGAACGGCAGCACAGUAAGAGCUUGCUCUUACGGGUGGCGAGUGGCGGACGGGUGAGGAAUACAUCGGAAUCUACUUUUUCGUGGGGGAUAACGUAGGGAAACUUACGCUAAUACCGCAUACGACCUACGGGUGAAAGCAGGGGAUCUUCGGACCUUGCGCGACUGAAUGAGCCGAUGUCGGAUUAGCUAGUUGGCGGGGGAAAGGCCCACCAAGGCGCCGAUCCGUAGCUGGUCUGAGAGGAUGAUCAGCCACACUGGAACUGAGACACGGUCCAGACUCCUACGGGAGGCAGCAGUGGGGAAUAUUGGACAAUGGGCGCAAGCCUGAUCCAGCCAUACCGCGUGGGUGAAGAAGGCCUUCGGGUUGUAAAGCCCUUUUGUUGGGAAAGAAAAGCAGCAGGUUAAUACCCCGCUGUUCUGACGGUACCCAAAGAAUAAGCACCGGCUAACUUCGUG
rnacentral:rRNA from 1 species